rnacentral:snoRNA from 1 species
UGGCAACAAGAGUGAAACUCCAUUUCAAAAAAAAAAAAUUGAUAUUUCUGAUGUGCUAAAUAAAUGUUUGGAGGUUAAUUAGCAGUAUGACUUAAUUUAGUCAUUGCUGCCAGUCACCUUCAAACAAGU